GUAAUUUUAAAUACGUCUAGAUACCUAAUAUUACCAAAGAAAUACAAAAGUGUUUAUUUUAUUUUUAAUGAAGGUACAAAACGUCACAAAAAUUGAAUAAAAAAAAUUAGAGAAAACAAGCAUUGUUCAUAAUAUUAGACAAUAUUAAAAGUUGUAUUAAAUUAUUAUUUAUUUGUAUUAUAAAAACAGGCGCUCUUUCGAGUAAAAGUAAGUGCGUUCAAAAUUGUAGUUUUUCAUUUUUAUUAUUAUUUUAGUAAUUAUAAUAUUAUCCCCGU